GACGAACGCUGGCGGCGUGCCUAAUACAUGCAAGUUGAGCGCUGAAGGUUGGUACUUGUACCAACUGGAUGAGCAGCGAACGGGUGAGUAACGCGUGGGGAAUCUGCCUUUGAGCGGGGGACAACAUUUGGAAACGAAUGCUAAUACCGCAUAAAAACUUUAAACACAAGUUUUAAGUUUGAAAGAUGCAAUUGCAUCACUCAAAGAUGAUCCCGCGUUGUAUUAGCUAGUUGGUGAGGUAAAGGCUCACCAAGGCGAUGAUACAUAGCCGACCUGAGAGGGUGAUCGGCCACAUUGGGACUGAGACACGGCCCAAACUCCUACGGGAGGCAGCAGUAGGGAAUCUUCGGCAAUGGACGAAAGUCUGAACGAGCAACGCCGCGUGAGUGAAGAAGGUUGUCGGAUCGUAAAACUCUGUUGGUAGAGAAGAACGUUGGUGAGAGUGGAAAGCUCAUCAAGUGACGGUAACUACCCAGAAAGGGACGGCUAACUACGUG
rnacentral:rRNA from 1 species